rnacentral:rRNA from 2 species
UACAGAGGUCUCAAGCGUUGUUCGGAUUCAUUGGGCGUAAAGGGUGCGUAGGUGGCAUGGUAAGUCGGAUGUGAAAUCCCGGGGCUCAACCCCGGAACUGCAUUCGAUACUGCUGAGCUAGAGUACUGGAGAGGAGAUUGGAAUUUACGGUGUAGCAGUGAAAUGCGUAGAUAUCGUAAGGAAGACCAGUGGCGAAGGCGGAUCUCUGGACAGUUACUGACACUGAGGCACGAAGGCCAGGGGAGCAAACGGG